GGGUGAAAUCCUCGCUGUCCGCCACCCGGCCGAGCCACAUGAGCACGCGGAGCUGGGCGGGAACCACGCCCUCCUGCCCUUGGCCCUCCGGAAGCGGCCACAGGCGCGGGGCCCCGCCCGGGAGAACAUGACGGUGUGGGCGGGCACCCGGGCGAAGGCCACGCGCCGGUCCCGGCACAGCAGCCAAACCACCACGUCCGGCACGCUCACCUGGGGCUGCUCACACCGCAGGCCAGGGGUCAGGUGAGGCUCUAGCCCCCGGCCCCACGCCCCCUCCGCUGGACCCUCCCUCCGGGUGACCGCAGAGGGGCCCCGCCAACCCUGGCUGGGGGCUCUCGGCUGGGACAGGGCAGCAACCUGCCGAAUGCCGACCGGACAGAGGACCGGCCGGAGGAGGGGCCCCUUUUCCCUCCCGGUGGUGCUCAUCAACUGGGUCCUCUCGCCCAGUCGCCGGGCAGGCCUGGGUUCCCUAGGUGACCCCUCACCCCGGGGUCGUCCACGCCCGCCGGAGGGCUGAACGGAUCCGGGGAGCGAGGGAGAGGGAGGAGUCGGGCGGGGUCGGGACGAGGCUCAGAGGCGACCGGAGCCCACCUCGGGGAGGACGGAGCCGAGGCGGUGCAGCCAGCCUUCGGCUUCCGGCACCAGCGGCCCGCGCCCCACGGCCUUGGCUUCCUGGGCCAGCUCCUGGAGGAGCAGGCCGCGCAGCUGCCGUAAGUGCUGGUCCAGGACGGUGGCGCCGGCCCGCCCCUUCAGGCUGGGCAGAGGCUGCCUGGACGGGGACGGGAGAGGGCCGCUUCGGCUCCCUCCGCUCCCGCUUGCGGCGGGCCCGGGGCUCCGCCGUGCCUCCCCCGUCCCCGCCGGCCGCUCCUGUGACCCACCCUUCCGGCGUGGCCCAACCGUCCUAGGAAUGUGCCCUUCCACCGCGGACUCCGGGAAGAGUCGGAAAUUCGGUGCUCACCCCUCCACCUUGGGUGGGGCCCACUCCCUUCCUCAGCCUCGGAGAGGCCUCCACACACGCGCCCCCCUCUCAACCCACGGCUCAGUCCAGUCCCACCUGCAGUCUGCCCUCACGUCCGCCAGCAGCUUCUCCCGCAGGCUGGGCAGCUGUGGGUCCUUCGGGUUCCGGAUGGCUUUGAGCGCUUCCAGCCGACUGACGGGCCUCGGGCCGCCUCCCCCGCCGCCCGCCCCUCACCAGCCGGGUGUGGAUGGCGUGCAGGACGUUGAGGGCAUCCAUUCGGUAGCCGACGUCUUCCCAGAAAGAGGUGACCGCCACGACAGGCUUGGCGUCGGCCCAGGGCAAGUAAUGCUGAGGUAAACGAGGCACAGAGAAGCGAAGUGACUUGCCC